ACAGGGGUCCCAAGCGUUGUUCGGAUUCACUGGGCGUAAGGGGUGCGUAGGCGGUCGGGUAAGUCUGAUGUGAAAUCUCCAAGCUCAACUUGGAAAUGGCAUCGGAUACUAUUCGGCUCGAGGAAUGGAGGGGAGACUGGAAUACUUGGUGUAGCAGUGAAAUGCGUAGAUAUGACAUAGAACACCAAUUGCGAAGGCAGCUUACUACACAAUGAUUGACGCUGAGGCACGAAAGCGUGGGGAUCAAACAGGA
rnacentral:rRNA from 1 species